UACCAUGCAGUCGAGCGAGACCUUCGGGUCUAGCGGCGGACGGGUUAGUAACGCGUGGGAACGUGCCCUUCUCUGCGGAAUAGCCACUGGAAACGGUGAGUAAUACCGCAUACGCCCUUCGGGGGAAAGAUUUAUCGGAGAAGGAUCGGCCCGCGUUAGAUUAGAUAGUUGGUGGGGUAACGGCCUACCAAGUCUACGAUCUAUAGCUGGUUUUAGAGGAUGAUCAGCAGCACUGGGACUGAGACACGGCCCAGACUCCUACGGGAGGCAGCAGUGGGGAAUCUUAGACAAUGGGCGCAAGCCUGAUCUAGCCAUGCCGCGUGUGUGAUGAAGGUCUUAGGAUCGUAAAGCACUUUCGCCAGGGAUGAUAAUGACAGUACCUGGUAAAGAAACCCCGGCUAACUCCGUGCCAGCAGCCGCGGUAA
rnacentral:rRNA from 1 species